UGACUGCAUUUCUGAAAGCAGGUUUGAGACCAUAAUACCAGCAUCUAAAGAUGAACCCUGCUCCCAGCUGAGAUAAGCAUUAAAACAGGCCAGGACGUUGUCAUUUGCAUUCUGCUUGAUAAUUAAUUGCAUAGCUUUGUUAAUUGCACCUUGGAAGAAAAAUAUGUCAGGCCAUAUAUUUGUGAUGAAUAAAAUCAAUUUCACUGAGUCUGGAAAGUCUUCUUUCAGUAAGCUAUAGCAGAAGAGGCGGGCUCUUUCCA
rnacentral:lncRNA from 1 species